rnacentral:rRNA from 1 species
UACGUAGGGUGCGAGCGUUAAUCGGAAUUACUGGGCGUAAAGCGUGCGCAGGCGGUUCGUUGUGUCGGUGGUGAAAGCCCCGGGCUUAACCUGGGAAUGGCCAUGGAAACUGGCGAACUGGAGUGUGGCAGAGGGGGGUGGAAUUCCGCGGUGUAGCAGUGAAAUGCGUAGAGAAUGUGGAGGAACACCGAUGGCGAAGGCAGCCCCCUGGGUCAAGAUUGACGCUCAUGCACGAAAGCGUGGGGAGCAAACAGG